rnacentral:tRNA from 1 species
GGACAGGUGGCAGAGGGGUUGAUUGCGGCGGUCUUGAAAACCGCUAGUCCGCAAGGGCGCGUGGGUUCGAAUCCCACCCUGUCCGCCA